AUUGAACGCUGGCGGCAUGCUUUACACAUGCAAGUCGAACGGCAGCGCGGGCUUCGGCCUGGCGGCGAGUGGCGAACGGGUGAGUAAUACAUCGGAACGUGCCCACUAGUGGGGGAUAGCUCGGCGAAAGCCGGAUUAAUACCGCAUACGACCUGAGGGUGAAAGCGGGGGAUCUUCGGACCUCGCGCUAUUGGAGCGGCCGAUGGCAGAUUAGCUAGUUGGUGGGGUAAAGGCCUACCAAGGCGACGAUCUGUAGCUGGUCUGAGAGGACGACCAGCCACACUGGGACUGAGACACGGCCCAGACUCCUACGGGAGGCAGCAGUGGGGAAUUUUGGACAAUGGGCGAAAGCCUGAUCCAGCAAUGCCGCGUGUGUGAUGAAGGCCUUCGGGUUGUAAAGCACUUUUGGCGGGAACGAAAAGGACUGUGCCAAUACCACGGUUCGAUGACGGUACCCGCAGAAUAAGCACCGGCUAACUACGUG
rnacentral:rRNA from 1 species